UACGUAGGGGGCAAGCGUUGUCCGGAAUCAUUGGGCGUAAAGGGCACGCAGGCGGUUUGGAAAGUCUGAUGUGAAAGUGCAGGGCUUAACCUUGUGAGGCAUUGGAAACUGCCAGACUUGAGUGUAGGAGAGGGAAGUGGAAUUCCACGUGUAGCGGUGAAAUGCGUAGAGAUGUGGAGGAACACCAGUGGCGAAGGCGACUUUCUGGCCUACAACUGACGCUGAGGUGCGAAAGCGUGGGGAGCGAACAGG
rnacentral:misc_RNA from 1 species